rnacentral:RNase_P_RNA from 1 species
GCAGCGCCCCGGUCUGUCGCUGGCAUCCGUCAAAGGGUGCGAGAGGAAAGUCCGGGCAGCGUAGGGCAUCCCACUUCCGAAACUAGAAGCUAUUGGUGACAGUAGGUGUCGGCAGAAGAAAACAACCGCCCAAAUUUAUCCCGUAUGCAUGGGGGAUAGUGUCGGGUAAGGGUGAGAAGGUGGUGUAAGAGACCACCAGCUGGCGGGUGAUCGCCAGGCUGUGCCAUCUGGGAGCUGUAAGCUCAUGUAUACCGCAGUUUGAGGGCGGCUCGUCCGAAGCCUUCGGGCUACUGUGGAGGGUAGAGUGCUUGAGCCCAGGGGCGACUCUGGGACUAGAUAAAUGACAGGCUAUCGUGCAUUUUAAUCAGUUGGGCAUGCGUGCAUGUUCGUACGAUACAGAACUCGGCUUAUAGGGGCACUGCUUUC